rnacentral:rRNA from 1 species
UACGUAGGUGGCAAGCGUUGUCCGGAUUUACUGGGCGUAAAGGGCGUGCAGGCGGUCUGUUAAGUCUAGGGUGAAAGCUCCCGGCUCAACUGGGAGAGGUCCUUGGAUACUGGCGGACUUGAGGGAGGCAGAGGAAAGUGGAAUUCCCGGUGUAGUGGUGAAAUGCGUAGAUAUCAGGAGGAACACCGGUGGCGAAGGCGGCUCUCUGGACGGAUACUGACGCUGAGGCGCGAAAGCGUGGGGAUCAAACAGG